rnacentral:rRNA from 1 species
GACGAACGCUGGCGGCGUGCUUAACACAUGCAAGUCGAACGAAGAGCGAUGGAAGCUUGCUUCUAUCAAUCUUAGUGGCGAACGGGUGAGUAACGCGUAAUCAACCUGCCCUUCAGAGGGGGACAACAGUUGGAAACGACUGCUAAUACCGCAUACGAUCUAAUCUCGGCAUCGAGGAUAGAUGAAAGGUGGCCUCUACAUGUAAGCUAUCACUGAAGGAGGGGAUUGCGUCUGAUUAGCUAGUUGGAGGGGUAACGGCCCACCAAGGCGAUGAUCAGUAGGCGGUCUGAGAGGAUGAACGGCCACAUUGGGACUGAGACACGGCCCAGACUCCUACGGGAGGCAGCAGUGGGGAAUCUUCCGCAAUGGACGAAAGUCUGACGGAGCAACGCCGCGUGAGUGAUGACGGCCUUCGGGUUGUAAAGCUCUGUUAAUCGGGACGAAAGGCCUUCUUGCGAAUAGUGAGAAGGAUUGACGGUACCGGAAUAGAAAGCCACGGCUAACAACGUG